AUUGAACGCUGGCGGCAUGCCUUACACAUGCAAGUCGAACGGCAGCACGGGAGCAAUCCUGGUGGCGAGUGGCGAACGGGUGAGUAAUAUAUAGGAACGUGCCUAGUAGUGGGGGAUAACUGCUCGAAAGAGCAGCUAAUACCGCAUACGACCUGAGGGUGAAAGGGGGGGAUCGCAAGACCUCUCGCUAUUGGAGCGGCCGAUAUCAGAUUAGCUAGUUGGUGGGGUAAAGGCCUACCAAGGCAACGAUCUGUAGUUGGACUGAGAGGACGACCAGCCACACUGGGACUGAGACACGGCCCAGACUCCUACGGGAGGCAGCAGUGGGGAAUUUUGGACAAUGGGCGCAAGCCUGAUCCAGCAAUGCCGCGUGCAGGAGGAAGGCCUUCGGGUUGUAAACUGCUUUUGUCAGGGAAGAAAUCCUCUAGGUUAAUACCCUUGGGGGGAUGACGGUACCUGAAGAAUAAGCACCGGCUAACUACGUGCCAGCAGCCGCCGUAAUAC
rnacentral:rRNA from 1 species